rnacentral:rRNA from 1 species
UACAGAGGUCUCAAGCGUUGUUCGGAUUCAUUGGGCGUAAAGGGUGUGUAGGUGGCGCGCUAAGUCGGGUGUGAAAUUUCGGAGCUUAACUCCGAAACUGCAUUCGAUACUGCCGUGCUUGAGGACUGGAGAGGAGACUGGAAUUUACGGUGUAGCGGUGAAAUGCGUAGAUAUCGUAAGGAAGACCAGUGGCGAAGGCGGGUCUCUGGACAGUUCCUGACACUGAGACACGAAGGCCAGGGGAGCAAACGGG